rnacentral:rRNA from 1 species
GAUGAACGCUGGCGGUAUGCUUAACACAUGCAAGUCGAACGGACUCUUCGGAGUUAGUGGCGGACGGGUGAGUAACGCGUGAGAAUCUGGCUUUGGGUUCGGGACAACCACUGGAAACGGUGGCUAAUACCGGAUGUGCCGAGAGGUAAAAGAGAAAUUGCCUGAAGAUGAGCUCGCGUCUGAUUAGCUAGUUGGUGAGGUAAAGGCUCACCAAGGCAGCGAUCAGUAGCUGGUCUGAGAGGAUGACCAGCCACACUGGGACUGAGACACGGCCCAGACUCCUACGGGAGGCAGCAGGGGGGAAUUUUCCGCAAUGGGCGAAAGCCUGACGGAGCAAUACCGCGUGAGGGAAGAAGGCUCUUGGGUUGUAAACCUCUUUUCUUAGGGAAGAACAAAAUGACGGUACCUAAGGAAUCAGCAUCGGCUAACUCCGU